UAGAGUUUGAUCCUGGCUCAGAUUGAACGCUGGCGGAAUGCUUUACACAUGCAAGUCGAGCGGCAGCGCGGGGCAACCUGGCGGCGAGCGGCGAACGGGUGAGUAAUGCAUCGGAACAUGUCCAUGUCGUGGGGGAUAGCCCGGCGAAAGCCGGAUUAAUACCGCAUACGCCCGAGAGGGGAAAGUGGGGGACCGCAAGGCCUCACGCGAUUGGGUUGGCCGAUGUCCGAUUAGCUAGUUGGUGGGGUAAAGGCUUACCAAGGCGAUGAUCGGUAGCUGGUCUGAGAGGAUGAUCAGCCACACUGGGACUGAGACACGGCCCAGACUCCUACGGGAGGCAGCAGUGGGGAAUUUUGGACAAUGGACGCAAGUCUGAUCCAGCCAUGCCGCGUGCGGGAAGAAGGCCUUCGGGUUGUAAACCGCUUUUGUCAGGGAAGAAAAGCUCCGAACUAAUACUUUGGGGUGAUGACGGUACCUGAAGAAUAAGCACCGGCUAACUACGUGCCAGCAGCCGCGGUAA
rnacentral:rRNA from 1 species